AAGCCUUAGAACACAUUCACUUCUAAAUUUGCAAUUUAGCAUCAUUUUUUGAUUACAAGGCC
rnacentral:tRNA from 1 species